rnacentral:lncRNA from 1 species
CAACCUCAACAGCAACAAUCUGCCCCUGGGACUGCUGCACCUGGUGAUGCUACUAGCUAUAAUUCCAGCCAGCCUCCUGCAUAUGCUUCCCAAGGGUAUGAUUCGUCCUACGCUCAGCAGAGUGGUGGGCAGCAGCAGGCAUAUGAUUAUUCUAGUUAUUAUCAGACCCAAGGGCAGCAGCAGGGCUACUCUCAGCAGACUGGAUAUGAUCAGCAGGGCUAUGGAACUUCUGGCUAUGGGUCCGCCGCUAAUUCAACUCAGGAUGGGUCCGCACCAAGCUAUGGUGCUCAAGGUGUAGCUGGUCAAGCAUCUCCUGGGCAGCAAACUUCAACUCCUGCUGCUGGAAGCCACCCUGGCUAUUCAAGCCAACCACCUACUAGCGCUGCUUCAAGCUACCCGGUGCAAGGGUCUGCUCCUCAGUCUGGAUAUGGGGCGCCACCACCACAGACUGGCUAUGGUACCCAGCCCCAACCACAGGGAGGGUAUAGUCAGGGCAGCUAUGGCGCACCUCCGCAGGGACAGAAGGCUCCUCCUAACACUUCUCCUUACGGACAGGCGCCGCCUCCUGGAUCUGCUCCUGGUGGGUAUGGCCAGUAUGGUUACUCUCAGAACCAGCAAGGCUAUGGCGCACCUCCACCUUACCCUGGUGCACCUGCUGCAAGCCACCCAGGCUAUGGUCAGCAGCAGUCCUAUGGUGAUCCUUAUGGCAGUGGAAGCUACGGGCAGCCUGC